rnacentral:rRNA from 1 species
GGGAGCUUGCUCCCGGAUGUUAGCGGCGGACGGGUGAGUAACACGUGGGUAACCUGCCUGUAAGACUGGGAUAACUCCGGGAAACCGGAGCUAAUACCGGAUAGUUCCUUGAACCGCAUGGUUCAAGGAUGAAAGACGGUUUCGGCUGUCACUUACAGAUGGACCCGCGGCGCAUUAGCUAGUUGGUGGGGUAAUGGCUCACCAAGGCGACGAUGCGUAGCCGACCUGAGAGGGUGAUCGGCCACACUGGGACUGAGACACGGCCCAGACUCCUACGGGAGGCAGCAGUAGGGAAUCUUCCGCAAUGGACGAAAGUCUGACGGAGCAACGCCGCGUGAGUGAUGAAGGUUUUCGGAUCGUAAAGCUCUGUUGUUAGGGAAGAACAAGUGCGAGAGUAACUGCUCGCACCUUGACGGUACCUAACCAGAAAGCCACGGCUAACUACGUGCCAGCAGCCGCGGUAAUACGUAGGUGGCAAGCGUUGUCCGGAAUUAUUGGGCGUAAAGGGCUCGCAGGCGGUUUCUUAAGUCUGAUGUGAAAGCCCCCGGCUCAACCGGGGAGGGUCAUUGGAAACUGGGAAACUUGAGUGCAGAAGAGGAGAGUGGAAUU